GGGGAUGUAGUAUAACCUGGCUAGAAUAAACGGCUCCAGAUGAGUGGAGCGAUGAGUCCUAUAAAUAGGGCGAUGAUCCUCAGGAUAUACCGUUGGAUCUGGGUUCGAAUCCCAGCAUCCCCA
rnacentral:tRNA from 1 species